GGCGGACGUAGCCAGUGGAUUAAGG
rnacentral:tRNA from 1 species